GUCCCUGCAGCGCAAUGGAUAGCACAUUGGACUUCUAAUCCAAAGGUUCGAAUCCCACUUGAGAUG